CCCAGACUCCUACGGGAGGCAGCAGUGGGGAAUAUUGGGCAAUGGGCGCAAGCCUGACCCAGCAACGCCGCGUGAAGGAAGAAGGCUUUCGGGUUGUAAACUUCUUUUCUCAGGGACGAAGCAAGUGACGGUACCUGAGGAAUAAGCCACGGCUAACUACGUGCCAGCAGCCGCGGUAAUACGUAGGGGGCGAGCGUUAUCCGGAUUCACUGGGUGUAAAGGGAGCGUAGACGGCCAUGCAAGCCAGGGGUGAAAGCCCGGGGCCCAACCCCGGGACUGCCCUUGGAACUGCAUGGCUGGAGUGCGGGAGGGGCAGGCGGAAUUCCUGGUGUAGCGGUGAAAUGCGUAGAUAUCAGGAGGAACACCGGCGGCGAAGGCGGCCUGCUGGACCGCGACUGACGUUGAGGCUCGAAAGCGUGGGAAGCGAACAGGAGUAGAUACCCUAGUAC
rnacentral:rRNA from 1 species